ACAAAGCUCGAUGAAGCCAUACUAUCGCAGUGGAACGACCUGCUAUUUGUAGCGACUAUUAAGUGUUUACACUGCUUAAAGUCUUUUUAAGGCAAUAUGCCAGGUCCCCAUUGUUCAGUGCGGGACUGCCACAACGGUACCCGUGGGCUAAAGACAUGGACGGAAGAGUUUUGCCCUAUUCACGAGGGCAAUAAAGGAACCUCGCGCUGUAUAUGUGACCCGCCUUAUUUACUCGUCACAUUUCCUACUGAAAGAAAAGAUCCAGAACGUCGUGCCGAAUGGAUUAAAUUAGUUUCCCAGAGACUAUGGGUUGAGGAGGAAGUGGAAGUUUGUCAGCUUAGACCUGGUGUCAUUCCAUCAGUGUUUAACUUCCCGGCUCAUCUUGGAAGAGUAUGUGCCAGAAAGACCACAAACAAGCAGCCUUGAGAUGUUAGACAGCGUCUCCCUGAGGUCCCUCUCUAUCUCCCCACAUAUCCACCAACCACUGGAACACAUCUCCAAAGUUCUGCUGGGCCAGCUCAGCUUCCCCUCAGAAGAAGUGCCGCCACCUGCCAGAUGAAGGAGCCUUUUGAGAGGCAGCUGGCAUCGUGAUUGGACUGUACUUUGGUCUGUUCCAAUCCAGCUUCAGCUCCAGAGACGGCAGGCGGGACGAGUCAACGGAGGCCGGAUGGACGAAGGCAUGCAGCUGAGUACAAUCCAGAAAACAACAGAGGAGGAGUGCAGGGCCAGAACAACCAGAGUAGCACAUUAUGUCUCUUAGAAAACAUCAUAGUAGAGCCUUUGGGAUGAAAAAACGCCAUCAUAUACAUCGUAUAUUGUACAAAUAAGUCAAAGGAAAGAGACAUCAACUGUAGAAUUGUAGUAAUUGUGGACUGACUGAUUUACUGAUUAUCAGUAUUUUAUUUUUUACCGAUUUACGGUAAUAAAUACAUUUAAAAAUGGUGCUA